GAUGAACGCUGGCGGCGUGCCUAAUACAUGCAAGUCGAGCGAACGGACGAGAAGCUUGCUUUUCUGAUGUUAGCGGCGGACGGGUGAGUAACACGUGGAUAACCUACCUAUAAGACUGGGAUAACUUCGGGAAACCGGAGCUAAUACCGGAUAAUAUUUUGAACCGCAUGGUUCAAAAGUGAAAGACGGUCUUGCUGUCACUUAUAGAUGGAUCCGCGCUGCAUUAGCUAGUUGGUAAGGUAACGGCUUACCAAGGCAACGAUGCAUAGCCGACCUGAGAGGGUGAACGGCCACACUGGAACUGAGACACGGUCCAGACUCCUACGGGAGGCAGCAGUAGGGAAUCGUCCGCAAUGGGCGAAAGCCUGACGGAGCAACGCCGCGUGAGUGAUGAAGGUCUUCGGAUCGUAAAACUCUGUUAUUAGGGAAGAACAUAUGUGUAAGUAACUGUGCACAUCUUGACGGUACCUAAUCAGAAAGCCACGGCUAACUACGUG
rnacentral:rRNA from 1 species